GCCAGCUUAGCUCAGUCGGUAGAGCAUCGGUAUCGUAAACCGGGGGUCGCGAGUUCAAAUCUCGCAGCUGGCU
rnacentral:tRNA from 1 species